CUUCCCGCAGCCGAAGGGAAAAGUAAGUGGAAGUGGAAUUGAUGAGAACGGUGGUCCAGAGAGGCACUGACAGCGAUUAUAUAUUUGAAAUUCACGGCAGAAUUCGAAAACAGGAUCGGAAGAGAAGAAAACACUUCGUGCUACAACGGGAUAAGCCGCAUACAAAACAUAUAUUUGCAACGACGAGCACAUUGCAAGAUACGCCGGGAACCCAUCGAAUGGAGUCAUUCAUCUGAAGCCUCAGGAUGCUCAAAAAUCUUAAAUCUUUUAAGAAAAUCUUUCAAUACUUUAUUAGAACUUCUGAGAAAUUUCCAUUUCCAUAUCCAACCUUUUCCUGUGAAGCCUAAACCGCAGGGCUUUCCCGGACACUCCUAGUGUCUUCGCUUACCAUCAUGUGUAAUUGAACUUCGCCUUAAAGGACAGAAACUUUUGCCGAUGCAACGGAUAAAACUGGCACGAAAUGCAUUAGGAGUUUGGUAAAGAUGGAUUUUUGGACGAAAAGCAGCUUUCGAAGUCACACCGAUGAAUAUCCUUUUCCGUAAGCAAACAGUCAUUUAUAACCAUUGUAGACGUGCGUUUCCACCUCAAGGAAGUUCUGGAAUUGCUGCACUGCCGCUGGGACUGAGAGUCAGUAGAGAGUAUUGGGGUAUAGUAACUAUUUUCAAAGCACAGAGAUCAGAAGCUCUUCCUUUGGCAGAACUCGUUGUACACUAGAAAACAUCAAAAGUAAGUUCUGGAAUUGGAGGAACUGGUGCAGUGGUCUGAUCGCAACGGAUUGUAAGGCAUAUACAUAUAUUUGUAUGGUAUCCAGAACUCGCUCAUUGGGAUAAUUAAUAUCGAUUACAGCUCAUUAAAGAACAAAGGGAGACAGUGCAUGCUGCAUGCUGUGCAUUCCAGAAUUCGACACCCAUACUUUCCAUCGUUAAAAUGACAAGGUGAGGCUCUGGCCAUGUCUUUGCCGCAAGCGGCUUGCAAUUGUGGCCAAUGCAACAACAGGAGCAGCAGGAACAGCUGGAACAGGAGGAGUAGCAGUAGUCUUUGUGCCUUGGCUACCAUCCAAGGGCAAGCAACAGCGAAGCAGCCGCCAAAGAUAUUAUCCUUCCUUUCCCCGGACCAGGGCCGCUUUUUGCUGCUGCCAUAAUGCCGCGCAAAUUGUUUUUUUUACACAUGUGCGCCCAACAUAUUAAAUUGUUUAUUGGGACAAGCCAUAAACAAAGAAGGACGUCAGCUCACGGGAAGAAAUACACUGAGAGAGCUUCUGGGAGAAGAAAAAUAGCAUUCUUCAGGCCUUAGAUAUUGUUUCUUUCAGUGAAGUGCUCGAGGACGCCUUCGGCACACUUUUGGCAUCCACUUCGAAGGGCUGUCAUCCACUUCCCGAAAAAAGCGACAAUUCGCAACGUGCCAAAAACAAUUUCAUGAUAUUUGAUGACAAUUUGAAUAGCAUCCCCAGGAAGUAGGGAACUCUGCUCAUUGAGGCUUAGCGAAAGUGUAUCCUGUCAAGGGAUAUUAUGCACCGAAAUUAUUGUAGUUGGCACCAAACAAACAACUUUUUGCCAAAGAAACACACAACACAAACAGGACCCCAGAGACGCUGCCAAAAGUCCUACUAAACCAAGUGGCAUGUUUGUCGCGAGGGGGUGCGGCGACACAAGGGGAGCAAUGACGACAAAUGAGUGGACUAUACUAAAUGAUAUUAAUUUAAAGCUAUGAUUUUAACAGACUUUAAUCUGGAUCCAUCUAUCCUGGCAAAGGACCACCGCAACGUUCAAGAAUUUCGUAUUAUUCAAUGAGAAGCCAAAAGAAAAAUCAGCUUUUAAUAGUUUUUUUACAUUUUGGGGUAAGAGGGAGACAAUAUGUAAAUAAAACUCUGACGCCAUUAAACACAUUUUUUCUGGUAGAAUUGGGUCU
rnacentral:misc_RNA from 1 species